CCAAUGGGGAGAUGAGAACAGAAGGAAGCAGUUGUUGUCCCUAGAAUAGCUGCCGUGGACAUAGAACGUACAUACAGAGCUAUAGAUAGAAGGAACGCAUUUCCCCGGGACGCCGGCGGCAUUCCUAGCACUUACACCGAGCAAGUUAUACGUGCCGCUUCUGGGACACUGCAGGGCCCGCGACUCUGUUGUUAAAACAGUCGGGGGAGGAGACGCAAAGGAAAGUUAAAGGGAAAAGGCAGGCUGCCCAGGCGCAGAAAGAAGCCGCCGACGAGGAGGGCCGGGCGCCGUGAAGGGCAAAGGGAGGGGCGGCGGCAGCCGAGGCAGGGCCGAGGCCGCUGUGUGAGUGACAGAAAGCUUCUCCGUGACUCCGCCUCGCGCCGGUCCCCGAGGAGCCCCUCGAUCCCCACUGGGCCUCGAGAGCACACAGCCUGGGUGGGAGCUGACAAGUCCCUUCGCCCACUUCCGGGAAUCUCCGUACCUGCUCGCCCCAACCGCUAGUCUCGCGAGAGUCCGAUCGCGGGCUGCCCGGGUGUAGGAGGUGGCUGAGGACCAGGCGGCGGGCUGCCUUUUUUCUCGCCCGGAGGAAGGAAGACUGGGAGGGAUCUUGGACAACCUAACUCAUGAGAUAGCUGUUUUCUGAGCAGUAAAUUGAGGAAGCCCAAGCAUGCCUCACUGACAUGCCCUCACUCAACAAGAAUUUACAGGCAUCCUGAGGGAUCUAGGUGGGACCCAUAAAUAUAGGAGAGAGUUCUGAUCCUUGGACCAUUUUUGGCGUUGCACUUUCUGCUACAUAAUACUCCUGUUAGGAGCUCGUCAUCCACUGUGGAUCAGGCAGGGUUACAGGUGCAGUCACAAGGUAUUAUGGACUACAUACAGACAGAGGGAACAUAUUAGAGCACACUGCUAUUUUUUUUGUAGAAUAAAACAGUACAAUUUCAGAGAUGCCAUGAAUCCUGUCCAGGAUGGCAUAAAUAGGCAAGGAUUCAAUCUGACUGGUUACCAUUUCCCAACUUUUCAAAAGAAAUACCUCUUAUCCACCCAAAUCAUCUAUGAUGCAUCACCUUGGGGUGCAAAAUCUUCAGAGGAAAAAUCAACAUAUUGUUAUUGGAGAAACCUCUUAUACUCAUAAACCUUUCAUAGACCAUUGUCUUUUCCUGCCUAAUAUGAAUGUCUAGUAAGUGUGAGGCACGGCAUUAGUGAAGGGGUAGUUUGACCCUUUGGGGGAUGUUCCAGAUUCAAUAGUGUGGGACAGCUGGUGCAAUGACAAUUCUUGUUUUUGUUGUUUGACUAACUUACCUCUUUCAUAUUCUCACUAUUAUCAAAUAAUGAGUUACUCUUGAGGGAGUCAUAUCAGAGCAGCACUCUCACGCGGUAGGUGAGAAAGGGGGUCAAGGAGACCUGGCAGAGCUGUCCCCAGGGCUGUGGCCCCCAUGCCAGAGCUUUAGCCUGGCCAGUCAAAGGGCUAGAGUCUCUAAGGGCUUGCCCUGGCAAGAAGCACCUCCUGAGAAAGAAACUGGGAGGAAAUGGUGGAUGUGGCUUAACCAGUAACUUCCACUAAUAAUGAAGCAGAAAAUAGCUUUUCUAAACUAUCAAUAAUAAAAUGUACCAACUAUGUUGAGGAAAAAUCUCUAUUAUCUUUUUCCCAUAGAAAAUGGUAUAAAAAGGCAUUGCCAUUUGAAGAGAUGAUUAAAAGUAUUGAGCCAGAAAGUGUAGAAAA